CUAGUUAAGGGUUAAAUGUAGGUUACUUGGGUUACUCGGGUUACAGGUUACUUGGGUUACUCGUGUUACAGGUUACUUGGGUUACUCGGGUUACAGGUUACUUGGGUUACUCGGGUUACAAGGCUAAGAGAGGGUAUGAUUGUCUUUGUACACACCCCCUUAGACCUAGAGUUUGUUCUCUAUAAAUACUAAAGUGUGCCUCCAUUUGUAACUCUAACUCUUAUCAAUCUAAUACAUCUUCUUUCUCUCAUCAUGGUUCUUCCUAUUCUUCCA
rnacentral:lncRNA from 1 species